GACAGAGGCCUCGAGCGUUAGGCGGAAUCACUGGGCUUAAAGCGUGUGUAGGCGGAUGCCUAAGUACCUUGUGAAAUCCCACGGCUCACCCGUGGAACCGCUGGGUAUACUGGGCGUCUUGGGCCAUUCAGGGGCGACUGGAACAAGCGGUGGAGCGGUGAAAUGCGUAGAUAUCGCUUGGAACGCCGACGGUGAAAACAGGUCGCUGGGAAUGUGCCGACGCUGAGACACGAAAGCCAGGGGAGCAAACGGG
rnacentral:rRNA from 1 species